rnacentral:tRNA from 1 species
UAUGUAGUGCCUGAGUUAAAAGGGUAAUCUUGAUAGGAUUAAUCAUGUGUGUCCACCUUCAUAA